rnacentral:piRNA from 1 species
AGUAAUAAACAAGGGUACAGAUGGU